CCUGGCUCAGAUUGAACGCUGGCGGCAGGCUUAACACAUGCAAGUCGAGCGGAAACGAUGAUAGCUUGCUAUCAGGCGUCGAGCGGCGGACGGGUGAGUAAUACUUAGGAAUCUACCUAGUAGUGGGGGAUAGCACGGGGAAACUCGUAUUAAUACCGCAUACGACCUACGGGAGAAAGGGGGCAGUUUACUGCUCUCGCUAUUAGAUGAGCCUAAGUCGGAUUAGCUAGAUGGUGGGGUAAAGGCCUACCAUGGCGACGAUCUGUAGCUGGUCUGAGAGGAUGAUCAGCCACACCGGGACAUGGCGACGAUCUGUAGCUGGUCUGAGAGGAUGAUCAGCCACACCGGGA
rnacentral:rRNA from 1 species